CUCACACUAACAACACCCUUACACACACCGCACCCUCACACAUACACACACACAGCACACACUAACAGCACCCUUACACACACAGCACCCUUACACAUACACACCAACAGCACCCUUACAUACAGCACCCUCACACACACAGCACACACUAACAUCACCCUUACACACACAGCACCCUUACACAUACACACACUAACAGCAGCCUUACACACAGCACCCUCACACACACA